rnacentral:tRNA from 1 species
GCGGGCGUAGUUCAAUGGUAGAACUCCUGCCUUCCAAGCAGAGAACGUGGGUUCGAUUCCCAUCGCCCGCU